CCCUUAGAUGUUCUGGGCCGCACGCGCGCUACACUGACGAUGGCAACGAGUUUUUCCUUCGCCGAAAGGUGUGGGUAAUCUUUUGAAACAUCGUCGUGCUGGGGAUAGAUCAUUGCAAUUUUUGAUCUUGAACGAGGAAUUCCUAGUAAGCGCGAGUCAUCAGCUCGCGUUGAUUACGUCCCUGCCCUUUGUACACACCGCCCGUCGCUACUACCGAUUGAAUGCUCAGGUGAGCCAUUCGGACUUUCAUCAUGCUGGUUUCCAGUUUUGAUGAAGGAAAGUCUUGCGAACCUUAUCAUUUAGAGGAAGGAGAAGUCGUAACA
rnacentral:rRNA from 1 species